UUGAACGCUGGCGGCAUGCUUUACACCUGCCGGUCGCACGGCAGCGCGGGCUUCGGCCUGGCGGCGAGUGGCGAACGGGUGAGUAAUACAUCGGAACGUGCCCAGUAGUGGGGGAUAGCUCGGCGAAAGCCGGAUUAAUACCGCAUACGACCUGAGGGUGAAAGCGGGGGAUCUUCGGACCUCGCGCUAUUGGAGCGGCCGAUGGCAGAUUAGCUAGUUGGUGGGGUAAAGGCCUACCAAGGCGACGAUCUGUAGCUGGUCUGAGAGGACGACCAGCCACACUGGGACUGAGACACGGCCCAGACUCCUACGGGAGGCAGCAGUGGGGAAUUUUGGACAAUGGGCGAAAGCCUGAUCCAGCAAUGCCGCGUGUGUGAUGAAGGCCUUCGGGUUGUAAAGCACUUUUGGCGGGAACGAAAAGAACUGUGCCAAUACCACGGUUCGAUGACGGUACCCGCAGAAUAAGCACCGGCUAACUACGUG
rnacentral:rRNA from 1 species